ACCACAGACACCAGAAUGAUGUAAUUUAACAACAGAAAAAGGCAGAAAUUGCAUUGGACCCGCCCCCCGACGACGCCGGCCAAUAGGAGAAGACCUCCGAUGACAACAGGAAGAGCAAGCCAAGAAUUGACCUCUUGCUACCGGGUGACCUGGACUGACCGGGCGGAUGAGGAGAGCGCCUCCACUCGCACAUUUCAUUUUGUACACCACCGCAUCUUUUGUGUAAUUAAAUGCUGUUAACUUUUAUAAGCUUCCCUUGACUCUUUUCAGUCUCUCCUGCCUUCGGGGUUAUAGAAUACACUAACAUGGCGUCCCUGGGUGGGCUCUGAAGCGGGAUAGAGCUGGAAAAGAGGGGAAUGCUGCAAGCUAACUAGCAUCACACUAGGCUGCAGAAAAUGAGUUUUUGGCUGGGCCUAAACGAAAGAAAAAGGCAGAAAUUGCAUUGGACCCGCCCCCCGACGACGCCGGCCAAUAGGAGAAGACCUCCGAUGACAACAGGAAGAGCAAGUCAAGGAUUGACCUCUUGCUACCGGGUGACCUGGACUGACCGGGCGGAUGAGGAGAGCGCCUCCACUCGCACAUUUCAUUUUGUACACCACCGCAUCUUUUGUGUAAUUAAAUGCUGUUAACUUUUA